rnacentral:rRNA from 1 species
AGUGAACGUUGGCGGCGUGGAUUAGGCAUGCAAGUCGAGCGAUCGUAGCAAUACGGGAGCGGCAAACGGGGUAGGAAUACAUCGGAACGUACCUUUUGGUUGAGAAUAGCGUUGGGAAACUGACGGUAAUACUCAAUAAAGUCGAGAGACCAAAGGUUUACUGCCGGAAGAGCGGCCGAUGCGAUAUUAGGUAGUUGGUGGGGUAAUGGCCUACCAAGCCUGAGAUGUCUAGGGGGUGUGAGAGCAUGGCCCCACCACUGGGACUGAGAUACUGCCCAGACACCUACGGGUGGCUGCAGUCGAGGAUCUUCGUCAAUGGGCGAAAGCCUGAACGAGCGACGCCGCGUGCGGGAUGAAGGCCCUUGGGUUGUAAACCGCUGUCAGGGGGGAUGAAACCGUAAGGUUGACAGAGCCCCAGAGGAAGCACGGGCUAAGUUCGUGCCAGCAGCCGCGGUAAU